GGAGGCGUGGCUGAGUGGUUGAAGGCGGUCGCCUCGAAAGCGAUUAUCCCCUAAAGGGAUCGGGGGUUCGAAUCCUCCCGCCUCCG
rnacentral:tRNA from 1 species